ensembl:lncRNA
CUCCCACUCAGCAGCUAUUUUGGCCGCUCCCCUGACCGCUUUGCACUACCACAAAGUCAUACAUUAGGAACCGAGGAGGAGGAAAAGCAUUCUUAUUUUUGUACUCGAGCCAAAGAUGGACCGGUAAUUAGUUCCCGGAAAACAAACCAGAAGAUUGCCAAACCACAGCCGUGUCUCCAUGGGACAGUAGUACUGGAGCCGGUCAGCGUUUGUGGGGCACAGAAGAGAAUGAGAGUGCUGCAUCCCCAUAAGCUGCCAGAGACUUCAGGUAGGAAGUUAGAAGCUAACGGGCAGCUCUGGGGAUGUGGUUCGGGACCUCUAAAGCCCAGCUCCUCUUUCAGUACACAUGGUCACCACGCAUGACUGCUCAGCCCGGAGUCGCAGUGCAAGAUUCACUCAAGGUAAUUAUGUAGGCUCUGCGGAUUAAAAUAAUAAUGAGCUCCUGUCAGUCAACACUGGUUUGGGGCAGCCAUGGUGUUGAGUGUUCUGGGCCUCCUGCAAAGAAGUCCUGUCCUGGAUCCCAGCUACCUGAGUUAGAAGUACAGCCAACUUGAGUUUGAAGGUGUGCUACAACUGGACCGUUUAGAAAGGCCUCACACAAGUGAGAAUCAGACGCUCGCAACCUCUGUGUUUUAUACAUCUCUUAUAGUCAUCAAGUACCUUUAGUAAGGCUAAUAACAUUUUAAUGAGAUCCACUGGUCUCCCUGGAAAUAACAUCUACGUGUCUAUGCCUUCCUUUAUUAUAGUGUUGUUUAUGGCUCUGCACACAGGAAGCCCACUGUUUUUCUUCCCAAACAACACAUAGCUAUUCCGUGUGACCUGUUCUGCUCGUUCUAGGAAAAGUAUUAUUACAGCCCAUGUGUGCUCCGGAUGCUGACAGGAGCGCUGACUCACUCCUGCCUCCUGCACACCUCAACGUGCAAUGCCUUAGCCAGCCUUCUGGCACUUCAGCACAGGGCAGGUUAGGAGCUCCGAUACUGCAGACACCAAAUGGAGGAUUGCAAUUGUGAGAUAAAACCCCUUGGAUUUUCAGAGAGCAAAAAGAAACGUAUGCACAAACACACAACAUCCUGGGGAAACAAAAUGGCAAUUCUCUGAUCACAGAGUGGAAGUAAAGGAGAAUCACUCACAGGUAAGCACAGGCUGCCUUAGGAUUCUUUCAGAAAGUUGAGCAACAGCUGGGCUCCUGACACACAGCAGCAUUUUACCACGCUUCUGGUACCGACAGGUCCCUCCUUAGAAGUGAGAUCAGCACAAAACUGGU